rnacentral:rRNA from 1 species
GACGAACGCUGGCGGCGUGCUCAACACAUGCAAGUCGAACGGAAAGGCCCUGCUAUUGUGGGGUGCUCGAGUGGCGAACGGGUGAGUAACACGUGAGUAACCUGCCCUUGACUUUGGGAUAACUUCAGGAAACUGGGGCUAAUACCGGAUAGGAGCUCCUGCUGCAUGGUGGGGGUUGGAAAGUUUCGGCGGUUGGGGAUGGACUCGCGGCUUAUCAGCUUGUUGGUGGGGUAGUGGCUUACCAAGGCUUUGACGGGUAGCCGGCCUGAGAGGGUGACCGGCCACAUUGGGACUGAUAUACCGCCUAGAGUCCUACGGGAGGCAGCAGUGGGGAAUAUUGCGCGAUGAGCGGAAGCCUGAUGCAGCAACGGCGCCUGCGGGAUGACGGCCUUCAGGUUGUAAACCGCUUUCGCCUGUGAUGAAGCGUGAGUGACGGUAAUGGAUAAAGAAGCACCGGCUAACUACGUG